rnacentral:lncRNA from 1 species
AUCUUCAUCCUUUAAAUGUUUAUAUGUUCAAGUCUGGACAAAGAGACUGCCUGAGAUUCAGUCAUCCUGAACGUGCACCUAGUAUAAACUCGACACUUGAACUUAAAGGCAAAACAAGUAUCUUAUACACAGCUUAAUUAUGUUAUUGAAUUCUAUUGUAACACUUUUGUCAUUCUUACAUCAUGUUUCUGAAUUUAAAUUCCCAGGAGAGAAUCAUGCUAUAAUCGAAAUGUAAUAAAUGCAGCUAGCUAUAUUGAAGAUUAAAAAUACUACUUUAAAAGAAUAUGAAUAUGUGGCUUGUGCUCAAAUAAUACAGUUAGAAAACAUGACUGAGUCAUUGGCUAAGGUAAGUUCUCAUUGUGUACUAGUAAUAGAGUCAUGUACCUGCUCUUGGAGCAUCUUUGGAUUUCUUAGGAAUGAGAUGUUAAUAAUUUAAGGGAAAAAAAAAUAAUUUAAGGGAGAAGUGUUAGUCAAACUAGUUAAGAAAUGUAAACCUAUU